rnacentral:lncRNA from 7 species
AAUUUGUGGAGAACUGCUGUGCAGUCUAGAUGUACUGUGUUGUUUUUGUAUACAAGAUUUUCCUCAUAUUGUCCUAUUUCAUCCAACAAAGCAGGGAAUUUUCUCUUAUAUUUGCAGAAUAAAGGUGUGAUGAGGACAAGUUGAAAGCAGCAGAAGAGACUACAGGUGAAUAAGCAAAGGUCUCUAUCCCUGGGGCUCAUCUGCUUUGGAACUUACAACAGGAAGAGAGCCAAGUAUUUGGUCAUUAUCAGUGAUUUAUGAAACCCACAUUUUUUUUCCAGGAAAAGUUCCAGAGAAGGACGGAAUAGUCUGAUGUCACCAACUUGAAAAGCACAUGAAGAAAUAUAAUAUUGGAAGAACCACAGGAAAUAUUUGCUAAAGACAAGAAUUGAUUGAGAAGAUGAACAAAUAUUUUCAAAAUAUCUGUAAUAUAUACAGAUAUAGAUCUUGUCCAAACAGGAACAUGACAGAAGAGGACAGGAUGAUAAAAAUAGUCUGAAUUCGUUUUCCAACAGCUUUAGAGAUGAAGAUUUUUGCAAUUUGUGCUUUGGGUACUUAGAACAACCGGGUGAUUCAAAGAAUUACGUGUGUGCACAGCUAGCACGUCUGUGGCAAGAGGUAUUAUAAUGCAAAGGUACAUUCUUCAGUUCAGAUGGGGCAGAAAAAUUGGUAUUCUCAGAUAGGUUUCUGACUCCCUACUACUACUGCAAAAUAAAUGUAUAAAGAAUGGUACUAUCAGGCACCUUGCUCUCCCUCUCUCCAUGCUUUGCAAAACAGAAAUAGCAGAGCGUGGCUUUCUCAAAAAUAAAUAAAUAGAUAAAUAAAUAAAUACC